rnacentral:lncRNA from 1 species
GGAGAAAAAUAAUUUAUUUAUUUAAUUUAAAACAGCAAGACUUCAGCUUCCACCCAGUCAGGGCUUGCAUUACAAUUUUGCAGGUGCAAAAACUCACACUUUUGAUGCCACAACUAGAAGUUUGUAAAAACUAUUUUUCUUGUCGUGGACACGUGAAGAGUUCUGUUUGCACCCUCAGCCUGGGCCAAAUAAUCAUCUUUAUUUAAAAACAAAACAGAACAAACAAACCAAAAAACCCUCAAAAGCACAAAGAGGCAGAAAGCGGCUGGUAAACCUGGUUAAAAGACCAAAGUUCAGAAAGUGCAUGGGAGAGGGACGCUGAGCUGCGGACACCGUUCCGGCUGCAGUACGUGUUAUGGCUGAGGUUACACUUGGGUGACUCAGGGAUGCAGGCAGAUGAACAUUAACCACACUAACAGAGGAGAAAGAAGCCCACUGGGGCUGUGCAAAGUGUCCAAGGAGCACAGCCCCUUUUGCCCUGAUCAGAUGUAACAGCCCCUCGCUUGAGAUCUGACUGGGCAACAUGGCAAAACCUUGUCUCUACAAAAAGUCAAAAUUUAGCCAGGCCUGUGGUCCCAGCUUCUCAGGGAGCUGAGGUGGGAGGAUCGCUUGAGCCUGGGAGGUGGAGGCUGCACUGGCACUACAGGCACACGAAACCACAUCCAACUAUUUUUUUUUUUUUUGUAUAUUUAGUAGAAACAGGGUUUCACCAUGUUGGCCAGGCUGGUCUCAAACUCCUGACCUCAGGUGAUCUGCCCACCUUGGUCU